ACUUUCACAUUUCUAUCACUACGGUCUCUCCCUCUCUAAACCCUACAAAAUCACUACGGUAUUUCUUCACUCUGCGUUGUCUCUCUCAUAAACGACGGUGACGGUGACGGUGAUGGUAACGAUGGCGGUAACAAUGACGGUUUUUAUGCACCUUGCUUUCAUCCUUGACUCUUCUUACUGAAUCUUUGCCUAUUGAUUCCGCUAAGGAACAAUCGUCUCUUCUAUCUAGUCAGUGGAACAAAAAUUGGUGUCCUAUUCCCGGCAGUCUUCUCAACACAAGUUUCUUUGCACUUGAUAAGCAAAGCGUACUUAAGGCAGAAGCCAAGAAGGUAAAGGAAGUCCAAAAGUUGGUCCAAUUCGAUAGUUCAAUGAGGCGGAGCUUAAGUCAGCUACAACACAAGUAUUAUUAAAUUGUUCUGAGGUCCUGCCUUUUUAUAAGUGAGUAUAUUUAUAUUAAGGACAAAUCAUUCAAGGUCUAUCUAAGCUUUAACUAACGAAAGUCAUAACUUUGUCGGACAGCUACUUCGUGGCUUUGCACGGGGAUGCUACUGUUUAUCCUAUGUUUUCAGUGUGGUUUAAAGAAUAUGUUCAUAAUCCACCUAAUUAUGACCCAAAUGGCCAAUUUUUAUGUAAUAUAUCUUGGGGACCUGUUGCUAAAGUCAGAAAGUUUUCUAAGUACUCUGUCAAUGGGUACAGAUUUCAUACAGAAGAGUCCUUUAAGGGCAAGAAAGCCAACAACAGUGGGGUUUGGGUGAAAGGUGAUGGCGGUGUUGAUUAUUAUGGUGUGCUUCACGAGAUUUUAGAACUCGAUUAUCAUGUUGGUUGGCCAAAGAAAAAGUUGAUUCUCUUUCUGUGUAAGUGGUAUGAUCCUACGCCUAGGUUAGGUACAAAGGUGAACCCUCGGUACAAAAUAGCGAAAUUAAGCGUGCAAGGGAGUAUGGACUCUAUGAACCAUUUGUCAUUGCACAAAAUAUGAAACAAGUGUAUUACGCUCCUUAUCCUUAGUGUAAGAAUAAAUUUGCAUGGCGGGUAGUUAUAAAAACCAAGCCCAUGGGUAGAUUUGAAGUAGAGGAUGCAUUGGAUGCAGCAUAUCAGAAUGACAUUUCAACAUUUCAAGUGUUGAAGAAAGGGUGGAUGAUGAAUUAGCAGGUGAGUUGCAGUAUAGCGAAGGCCUAUAUGAAGAAUUUGAUCCUUCUAAACUUAGAUUGAAUGUUAAUGAUUAUGGAGAAGGAACAUCCGGGGCAAAUUACGAGGAAGAUCCAACUGAUGAAAAUGAAAUAAGCGAUGAAGAGUUACUUGAUGAAAAUGAAACAAGUGAUGAGAAAGAAUCGGUGGAUGAAUAUGAACUAAGUGAUGAGGAAGAAUUGAUGAAUGACUAUGAAACACGUGAUGAGGAAGAAUUGAUGAAUGACUAUGAAACACGUGAUGAGGAAUGAGUUGUUAUUAAUAGUAGUGUGUAGUAAUAGGGUCUCGAAUUGUAUUUUAGCUGCUGCUUUUUGUUAUUUACUUGACAAUAUAGUGUCUUUUCUUUGUUAACAUUUGUAGUGUCAGUAAGAACAUUUUCAGGUUGUUGGAUUAAAUAGCGGUGAUGAAUUUCUAUAGUAUUUCUGUGUUGUCUAUUUUAUUCAAUUGGUACUACAGAAAAGAACUAUCCAUUUUAUAUGUGCAGAGGUAAAAAAAGAGGUAAAAAACUUUUAUUCUGUAUGAACACUUGCUAUAGUGUUGUUUCAUUCGUUCGAUACUGUAUUUGUUUCCUUUUUGGUAAGAAUUUUUUAUUUUCU